rnacentral:rRNA from 1 species
UACGUAGGGACCAAGCGUUGUUCGGAUUUACUGGGCGUAAAGGGCGCGUAGGCGGCUUAACAAGUCACUUGUGAAAUCUCCGGGCUUAACUCGGAACGGCCAAGUGAAACUGUCAAGCUAGAGUGCAGAAGGGGCAAUCGGAAUUCUUGGUGUAGCGGUGAAAUGCGUAGAUAUCAAGAGGAACACCUGAGGUGAAGACGGGUUGCUGGGCUGACACUGACGCUGAGGCGCGAAAGCCAGGGGAGCGAACGGG